UUUGACCCAGAAAUUGCCCCCUCUAUAGGAAACACAAGGACAGAGAUGGAAGAGGAAAUGAGGGAAUGGCCAAAGGAUAAGUGGCCGGAUGUGAGACUUAUCCUAUGAGCAAACCACAAACACUGACAUUAUUAAUGGUCCUUUCUUAUGUUUGCAUUUUAUGUUUAUUUUCCUCUGCGAGGCUCCACCAAGGGACGACUGACACUGAAGCAGACGCGCACGGUCAAAUAUCAGAUGGAGCUCUGUGAGUCUCACUGAAGAACUGAAGGAAGGACUGAGAGAGGUUCUUCUUGAAAUUGUUUGAAGAAGUGAAAACUGGUAUGUGUUUAUUUGUUCACAUUCAUAAAGCAUGGCCAUUGCUCUAGUGAUGGACAGAUGGCACAACUUUUAAGAGGCAAACUGACUUUCUUCCCAAAGAAAUAAAUCUUCAACUUCAUGGAGGCAGUUUCAUUCUUAGAUGGAUUCUGGGUUGUAGACUCUCAGGCAUUUUAUGAUCCAUCUCUCACAAUAGGGGCUGCAAAUGACAUGACUCUUCAUCAGGAAUAAAGGAAAGAAGACAGGUAAAGUAAUAGAGAACUCCCUGAUGUAUUUAUCGCCUCUGAGUCUGAGAUGACUGUUGUCAUUAACUUGUAUAUAUAAACUUUAACUUUGAAACAAAGUACACUCCCAUGAGUUUCAGCCUUUGUACUUUUCAUUGUGUAAAUA